CACUGGAUUUCUUGGCUGACUCUGU
rnacentral:piRNA from 1 species